AUUGAACGCUGGCGGCAGGCUUAACACAUGCAAGUCGAGCGGGGUGAUGGUGCUUGCACUAUCACUUAGCGGCGGACGGGUGAGUAAUGCUUAGGAAUCUGCCUAUUAGUGGGGGACAACAUCUCGAAAGGGAUGCUAAUACCGCAUACGUCCUACGGGAGAAAGCAGGGGAUCACUUGUGACCUUGCGCUAAUAGAUGAGCCUAAGUCGGAUUAGCUAGUUGGUGGGAUAAAGGCCUACCAAGGCGACGAUCUGUAGCGGGUCUGAGAGGAUGAUCCGCCACACUGGGACUGAGACACGGCCCAGACUCCUACGGGAGGCAGCAGUGGGGAAUAUUGGACAAUGGGGGGAACCCUGAUCCAGCCAUGCCGCGUGUGUGAAGAAGGCCUUAUGGUUGUAAAGCACUUUAAGCGAGGAGGAGGCUCUUUUGGUUAAUACCCAAGAUGAGUGGAUGUUACUCGCAGAAUAAGCACCGUCUAACUCUGUGCCAGCCGCCGCGGUAA
rnacentral:rRNA from 1 species